GGGUGUGUGGCGCAAUGGAUAAGGCGUCUGACUACGGAUCAGAAGAUUCCAGGUUCGAAUCCUGGUACGCUCG
rnacentral:tRNA from 1 species